GGGGGUGUAGCUCAGUGGGAGAGCAUCGCGUUCGCAAUGCGAGGGUCGAGGGUUCAAAUCCCUCCACCUCCAC
rnacentral:tRNA from 1 species